AGUGAACGCUGGCGGUAGGCCUAACACAUGCAAGUCGAACGGCAGCACAGUAAGAGCUUGCUCUUACGGGUGGCGAGUGGCGGACGGGUGAGGAAUACAUCGGAAUCUACUUUUUCGUGGGGGAUAACGUAGGGAAACUUACGCUACUACCGCAUACGACCUACGGGUGAAAGCAGGGGAUCUUCGCACCUUGCGCGACUGAAUGAGCCGAUGUCGGAUUAGCUAGUUGGCGGGGUAAAGGCCCACCAAGGCGACGAUCCGUAGCUGGUCUGAGAGGAUGAUCGGCCACACUGGAACUGAGACACGGUCCAGACUCCUACGGGAGGCAGCAGUAGGGAAUAUUGGGCAAUGGGCGCAAGCCUGAUCCAGCCAUACCGCGUGAGUGAAGAAGGCCUUCGGGUUGUAAAGCCCUUUUGUUGGGAAAGAAAAGCAGCAGGUUAAUACCCCGCUGUUCUGACGGUACCCAAAGAAUAAGCACCGGCUAACUUCGUG
rnacentral:rRNA from 1 species